ensembl:miRNA
CAAAAAGUUCAUUCAGAUUUUUCUAAAACAGCUUACGGAAAAACCAGAACGAACUUUGUGU